AUACAAAGCACUUAGGGAAUCUUAUUAAAAUGCAGAUCCUGAUUCAGGUCUAGAAUGGAGCCCAAGAUUCUGCAUCUCUAGCAAGUUCUAGAUGAUGCUCCC
rnacentral:pre_miRNA from 1 species